UGAACGAACGGAGGCGUCGAACCGGGACCUGAAUGUGGUCGCUUUCCCAUCUGUGUAAGGUAAAGGUCUCUGAGAGCUAUUAGCGAAACCGGCCGGUGGUUUC
rnacentral:ncRNA from 1 species